UUACAGUGUUCAUCCUGAUCGUCUUGACAGCUAACCAAAAAAAUGGCUCACUUUCUGCAGCAUUUUUUCUACGCCAUCAAUCAACAUUACAACAACUGCCAUGUCAGAAAGAUGUCCGAAAAUAUAAAAGCAACUGCAUGUGUCGGUUAUUCAGUCGAUUCGACCAAGACACUCCCCCGAAGUCUUCCAAAGUCGGAAACAACUCCACAAGUCCUUCAGUUUUGCCUCCCCCAACGAUUAGUGCCCUCUACUAUGCAAAAUGUGUACACGGUUUGAGGAAUGAUGCUGUUCCUGUGAAAUAACAUUUUCCGGUUUCCUCCGACUUCGGAACGAUCACUGACAUCAGUACGACCACUGACAGAAGUAGCCAAACGGACGAAUGAUGUGGGAAAGCGACAAGUUUCGGUUGAAACAAUCAAGUUCAGGAAGACAACGAUGAAUUGAAUCAUCGUCUGAAACAGCAACUCGUGAACUCGUCAUUGAGAAGAAAGCUCCGGUACAUAAAUAGACUCCAAGCUUCGGACUGCAGAAUUAUAUGGACGAUCUGGAACUGCUUGGCGUAGCUUGACCACCAGCUAAGAACGGCAAAGCUAGUCGCCAAAACAUCAAAGUAUGCGUACGGCUAGACUAAACGGUGUUACCGAUGGCUCUCACGCUGGAAAACAACUAUUCGGGCAUCUGUAGUAGCCGUUGAGCUUAAUGCGGGAUAGAGUGAUCGGUGCAAUUCUUUAGGUACCUAGAUGCUGAGGAGAUUCAGCCAAUUCUUCAACUUCAGAACCAUACUGGUCAGCACUCAACACACAGUCCCGGUGCCAGUUGCCAGUCAUGCCCUCACUCAUUUUUUAACAGCACAUCGGUUUCAGCAUCUCAUGCAGUUUGGACACCAUUCAGAAAGUUCUGCUUGGAAUAGCUCCUUUUGAUUAUUAUGUAGUGGCGUGUUGAUCAACAGUUCGUGAGCUAAUGCUAAUGUUGGGACCUUUCCUUAGCCAUGCGGUGAGAUGCGCGGCUACAAAACGAGAUCAUGCUGAAGGUGACUGGGUUCAAUUUUUUGUCCCGUCAUAGGAAAUUAACAUUUUUGACUAAGUUUGCAAGGCAGAAGGAAAUCGAAGUUGGGAAAUGUUUUGAAGAAAUUGUUCUUGUACGACUUCAUGCGAUAACCUUCCGAGCAGCAUACUAAAUUUGUUCUACGUAGGCCGAUUUGAACGACACCUUUUCAUAGUUUAUCAGCAAGAAACUGAGCUUGGAUGUUUCAUGCUUACGACACAUCUUUUGCUUGCGCUCGCAGUUUAUGAUAAUAUCGAAGCAGCAACCAGAAAACGUCCUCGGCAAUAACUAAAUUUGGAUGCUUUCAACUUGGAAAUUGCAAGACCUAUUUCGUUCGUAAUAUCGGUGUCGGUAUCACUGGACCAAGGCUGCAUAUUUGAUACAUUCUUUGAUACAUUACAGUAGUAAUAUGUACUAGUUAUUUGGUUAUAGUGUUGCUACUUAACAGCUGAUUAGGGAUGCAAUUCCUUGUCGGUGUAGUCUGAUUAGAAAGAGCAAUUGGAUAUAUUAUGAUUCUAUUGCUACAGGAUAUAUGUCCUUAGCCGUACGGUAAGAUUCGCGACUACAAAGCAAGACCAUGCUGAGGGUGGCUGGGUUCGUUUCUCGGUCCGGUCUAGGAAAUUUUCCGGUUGGAAAUUGUCUCGACUUCCUGGACAUAUAAGUAUCAUUCUCUUAGUUUCAUACACUCAAAUUAAAUGGCUGAUAAAUUGUAAGUGCAAAAACCACAUAGACGACGAGCGCAAUUCAGAAUUUACAUUCUAAGUGCGCCUUAUAAAAAUUAUGUAUGCAUAAUAAUUAUUAUAAGAGGUUCAAAUAUACUACAUUAUGCGUUAAAUGAAUUUGUAGUGCACAACAUAAACAAAAUAUUACUCUUGUCAUUUGAAAUUCAAUUCUAAAAGCGGAAAUUUCUCUAUGCUGCAACUGAAUUACAUAUACGAAAACUCGAGGAGAAGGAAAAGUCUGCAAAUACUUCUUGAAAGAACUGAGUUCACCAAAGUUUCUCAACGAUUUCAAGAACCUGAAUAUACAUCGCACAUAGGCUCAAACUACUACAAAAACGACGAGAUGAUUGGCGUUUCACAUUCCUAUAAAGCUGCGCUGUACGAGCGAAGAAGCUCGCGAAAAACAGCUAGCCGGAGAAGUAACAUUACAGAUUAACGACUUGAUAACUGCUGCCAUUUCCGCUGAGGCUGAUUUGAGAGUUGACGUAUACGGAAAUUUUGGUUUCGACGCUGGUUCACUUUGCGCGGGACAAAUUUGGAGAAUCUGUUCAUUAUUCAGGCCAAAAAAGGUCACUGGUAACGACGAAACUCGCUUGAUGUAGCAGGAAGAAGGUUUAGACAAUUCACUGGACAAUGCAUCCAAUUUGCAGGGCUCCAGGAGACAUGACCAAUAGUCUCAUAAGUAGCAGGGUGCAGUAUCUUCGUGGGUUUCGAAAUGCAUGUUAUGCAUUCGUCUGAAAUAUUCAUUGAGGUUUCUGUUAUGUUAACUAUAUCAUAAGAACAACAAUUAUCAAUAAACACAAAUAAAACAUGAAAAUAAAAA